GCCACGGGCAAGGGGCUGAGUAGAGGGGGGUCCGAUGGCAGUUGCUUAAAAAUGCCCCCGUAGCAUCAAGAGGUGCCAGCCGAGUCAACUUAGGUGAGAAGCAGUGACACCCACAACCAUACCCCAAACAGGGUGAGCCUCUGAAGAGUCAUCCCUGGGCCAGACAACAGCCAAGGCAAGAAUGAUGGCUAGUAGGCUCCUGCCCGCCCCCCUACACUCGAGAAUGAAGAGCCUGUGAGAGAAAUUUUCCCAAGAAGUAGAAAAGGCAUGGCGGUGGAAGCCCUGUUCCCAGAACUAACUGAGCUUCCCAACAGACAGAAGCCAGAGAGUCCCUAGCCUAGAGACAUUUUCUGAAGACCUGUGGAAAAGGAAAAAAAGCGGGCUGUCCCCUGCAGCAUGCCUCCAAGGGGCCGAGAGACAACACCUAGAGCACCAGCCAGGAGAAAAGGCUGCCUCUCCCUUCAGACAACCCCCAAAGUAUGUCAUCCAGCAUCAAGGCCACCACAGUCACCAUGAAGCAAGGGUCUUCUGGGGACCCUGGAAUCUUGGCAAAAGCAGGGUGAGUGCCCACAGAAGAAAAUGAAUUAUCCAUGUGGCCACUCAGUCAGUCACUACAUGUCAUCUACUAUGUCUGUUGUCAUGUGCAAAGUUAUCAGCAGUAUCUAGGGACCCCAAAUGAUAACAUAUGGGCCCUGACCUCAGGCAACUGGAAAGGUAAGUAGGGAUGGCCCAGAAAUGAAACACCCUGAGGCCCCGUAGUACCAGGUAGCUUGCAAGCCGUCUACUCAAGCAGCAUUCAUCAUGGCCACGAUUUGGGGGCUGAGGGAAUCCAGCAGGCUCCUUUUCCUCAUGAAGGAAGGUGUUCACAAAAGAAAACUGUACCUCAAGGGUUGAGAAGAAACAGAGUUCAGAGGAUGGGCAAGAACAUGAAGGUGUCCUGGGGUCUAAAGAAGUGAGGGUUGGUUUCUCACCAGUGGUCGUUUGCCCAGAGUCCAUUCAGAGAUGGGUGGGGGACAAGAGCAAGAACCAAAGGUAAGAGGACACAGAGGGUUUAUUUAAUAAGUGCAAGGCCACGGGUUCCAUUCCCAGCCCUGCAGAGAAAAAAAAAAUCAACUGUACACUUUAAAUGGAUGGACUCUACCUCAAGAAAGCUAACUUAAAAAGAGAAAGGGAAUGAAGAUGGAGAUUUCAGUCGCAGAGGGCUCCAGGGCAAGGGAAGAACAGGUGGGAGGCAGGCCACUACACAUGCUCACACUCCUUUUCCUGCCCAGGAAGCCAGCCGCAGCCCCAGUGCGCAUGUGCGCGGAGCGUCUGUCUCCCAGCCUGAGGUGCAGUGCUGCAUCUCUGGUCAGUUGGGAGUCUGAGAUGAAGCACUGUAGCUCAGGAAGGGAGAAGUUGUUCUGCAGCCAUCACCAGGACGUGGUAAGUGUUGAUGUGGGGUAGCAGGCCCGGAUAGGUUAGACUCCACUCCAGCAGUCCAUGGUGAUAUUCCUUGGCUCAAGCUGCACCAGUGCUGACCACUCAUGUGCACCUGUAACUGUACACUCUGGUCCAUUCGGUGGCAGCGGUACUGACACGUAGAAGACAGUGCUAAUGUAAAAAGAUAUGGCUCCUUUAAGAAACUCUGUCGUACAUCUAUCCAUUCUGAAGGGGUUCCAACACACCCUCAGAAUCCAUCUCAACACUGCAGACUCAAAUACCCACUAUAAAUGAUUCUUGACUGAAACCCAUUGAAUCCCUGUAGAUCAUCAGACAAUCCCUAACAGCUCUUCCAUCCCAGAGGUAGUGUCCCAGGGUCCUGGCAGCCCAACACUGUCAUGCUGCAGCAUCAAAAUGUUGCACAUUCCUGUUAGGCGUGGAGUCACAGUCUUCACUCUUUGACCCUCUAACUCUGCCUCUGUGCUAUUGCCUAAACUAGCCAAGGCAUUUCACAAAUGUCUACCCUGGCCCAGAGGCUUCAGAGAAGCAAGGGGCAGCAGAUGAGCACCACAGAGGAAGGUGACCCACUUCACAGGUGAGAAAACUAAGCCUUAGUUAAGUGGCUGACCUUAGGUCACAUAUGGACAUGCUGGGGUCCACCUUCUUAUCCACUGUGAGACUGUGGAUAAACCCCAGUCUGCUAUGGUAACAGAGGCAGGACCACACACUUCUAAGAGUCCCGUGGUCUCUCUUCAUGCUAUCUCCUCACCCAGUAGGUGCUAUUUGAUGCCACUUUACAAGCAAGGUGCAGAGUUCAAGUUACCUGCCGGAAGCCAACAAUGAGAAAGUUGCCAGAGCCUAGGAACUAUCCUCGUGCAAACUGGUUUAAACUCAUCCUCCUGGCCAGAGCACUGUGGCCUGUGGCAAUGGGGGGGAAGGAACUGGUCCCAGAUGUUUUCUGAUCAAUUCUGGUAAACAAAGGCUGCCUUUGACCACAUGGAAGGUACUUCCCAAGCCACUCCAAGCUUUAGUCGCUCUUCCCAGGGCAGGAAGCUGCACCCUGGGAGUCGCAGCACCCCACACUGGCUGCCAGAGCUCAGCUCUGGCUGGAUGCAGAGAAAAACUGUUGGUCCCUAGAGGUGUGGCAAGUGCUGAAGGCCUCUCUCUCCCACCUUGUCCUCACGGUCCAGUUUUCCCAGGAAUCCCUUGGAUGCUAAGAUGGGGAUUCCUGGAAAUACUGUUCUUGAGGUCAUGGCCUAACAGCUGGAGCUGCCUCCUUCCCACCCUGGCAUUUCCUGUCUGGGAUGCGGGAGGAGAAGGCGGUACACUGGAGGUAAGAGGCCUCGGGAGAUCCCUUCUGACCUUUGCAUUGCUUUUCUUUCCACUGUGCCCGUAUUUCAUAACAUCCCCGGGAGGCUGGAUGUGGGAACCUCAGAACCGCCUCACUCUUGAGAAACUUGUCCCAAGUCGCAGUGGUUGAAGCAGGACCUUGAGGCAGCCUUUCCUCCACUCGAACCCUCCGCGUUCCUUCCCUGCCGGAGGAAAGGAGGCGCCAUAGGUCCAUAUCCACAUUACUAGGAAAAUCAUACACAAAUUUAUUUCAAAAUUUUAUUAAAUCUGUUGUAUAAACUAACAGAUAAACCCUUCAUCUCGGUUGGAUUCAGAGCACAGCAGCCACAGGAAACAGCUUUCGAGGUAGAAAAAUACAAGUUUGUAGCGCCCCCCGGUGGUAUUUCUGCCCACUUCAGGAACAGUGCGAUUUCCCCAUACACUGCGCAGGAGCCUCUGCAGCCUGCCUUCCUGUUUCUACACACUUCUACCAAAAUUCUUUCUGCCCAGUCACUUUUGAGUGGACAUGCUUAAAACUUAUUAAUCUCCUGCCAGAGAUGCUUCUGCGUCUUACAGUUGGCUUUUCUUUAGGCCCAAACCAGGGCAAGUCCACCUAGACAGCAAAAGGCAGAGGAGAGAUAGAGUUCAAGUUCCAUGGCCCCUAGCAUUGAAUGUCUGAGCCAAAAGGAAAAGUAGGGCCAAGUACUCCUCCCUUAUAGCUCCCUGCUCCCCAACUCUUUAAUUUUCCUUAAAUUUCUGCUGUGCCAGUCCAGUCUAUACAGUGAGUUCCAGGACAGCCAGAGUUACAUAGUGCUUGCUACAUGUCUCUGCAUAGUAAGACCCUGUCUCAAAAAAAAAAAAACAAAAAAAAACUAGAGCCAGGUUGUCUGUAGAGUGAUUGCUUACAGUGUGUGAAUCCCUGGGUUCCAUGCCUAGCACUUGUGCAAAUCAGGUGUGGUGGUACAUGCCUGUAAUCCCAGCACACGGCAGGAAGAUCAAACAUGCACAGUCAUCCUUGGAUAAAUAGUGAGUUUGAGGCCAUUCUGGGCUUACAUGAGACCCUAUCUUGAGAGCAAAAACUAAAAAAUGAAAAAUAAAAAGGCCACCUUUCCAGUUGCAUGUAUGGAAUGGUGACUGGAUGGAUGUCAAAAUCCUUGAUGGAAUCCAGGUAUAAAACUAGAACUUGGGCUGGGAAGAUGAGAUGGCUUACCAUUAAAGCCCACCCAAAUCAAACCGGAACCCACGUGACAGAAGGAGAAAAGUGACUCCUGAAAAUUGUCCUCUAACCUCCAUGUGUCUGGCAUGCUGUGUGCUGCAAGCAUGCACACGCAUCAUAAAAAGAAAUAAGUGUGAAGGAAAAACUAGAACUUUGGGGGCUACGGGAUGGCCUAGUCAGUGAAGGUCUGGGUUCAGAUGCCCAGUGCCUAUGCAGAAAGCUAGCUGUAGGUAACAUUUUUUAAUUCCAGUGCUGGUGGGGAGAGAGACGGGAGGACCCUGGAAUUCUGCAGUCAGCCAGUCUGGCCAGAGUUGCUGAGCUCUGGGUUUAGUGAGAAAUACUAUCUCAAAAUCACAAGGUAGAGAGUGACAGAGGACAAUAACCUUGUGCACACAUUCACACACAGAGAGGGGGGGGAGGGAGGGAGAGAGGGGAGGGAGGGAGGGAGGAAGAGAGAGAGAGAGAGAGAGAGAGAGAGAGAGAGAGAGAGAGAGUUCUCCUUUAACUGUCCCUGGUUACAGGGCAGUUGGUGAGUUGGUAGAGGUGGUAACUGCCAUAACUUCCCAGCCCUCGGUUGUGGGUAUGGCAUCAUAUCUCCAGAGACCAGGUAGUUCCCAGGGGUAUGCCAAGCUAUGCUCUUAGCAAGAAUCCAGAAGACACUUCUUAAGAUUUAUUUAUUUACUUAUCAUGUAUACAGUACGUGCCAGAAGAGAGCACCAGAUCACAUUACAGAUGGUUGUGAGCCACCAUGUGGUUGCUGGGAAUUGAACUCAGAACCUCUGGAAGAACAGUCAGUGCUCUUAACACCUGAGCCAUCUCUCCAGACCCAGAAGACACUUCUGAAGAGAGACCACCUCCUGCUCACACUCUGAGGCUGUUGUUGACCCCCCCCCCCGGCUCUUUACCAUCUGCCAGGCCCCAUGUUACACAUUCACAACACUGCUCGGUCCUCACGCCACCCAGUGAAAUAGCACUCAAGGAGUCCAAGGCUAAAAGAGGUUAAGACACCCUUGGGACACUCUCAGGAGUUGUGACACUAGGAUCCAGUCAAUGCUUACCACUCUCACCAUCAUACUGUGCCCCACCCAUUUGACCUGGUUGCCUCAGUCUGCUCCCCCCGCCACCCCUCUCCAAUGCCCCUCCCAUGACUCUCCCACUGGGGAAGAAAAGCAAGCCUUCUUCUCUGUGUUCUUCAACAGUAAUAAAGUGCUGGAGCUUUGCUUUGUGUCCUGUGUCUUCCUGGGAGUAUGGGGGUACGGAAGAAUGUUCCAGUAUUCACUUCUAUAAAUCCCCAAGUGCCUCCACUUGCCAGA
rnacentral:lncRNA from 1 species